GUUAUCUGAAAGCUGUACAGGAGUGUGAGGUGGGAAGAGCAGAGGAGGGAUAUGCAGAGAGAGAAAGAUGAAGUCAUAAGGAAAAGUGGAGAGAGGAUGGUAUUCUCCUUUGGAAAAACUAGACAGAAUUCCAUCCAGUCUGGUACUUCCAGUAGAAAUGCCCAGAAGACCUUCUCCUAAAUACAACCCCCUUCAGAUGCUGCAGUGUGUUUUCUACCCAUUGCUUGAGAGAUGGAUGAAUUAAAGGAUGAAUUUCCCUCUGGACAUACCCACUUCUCUGCAGAAGCUUAGGAAAGCACAACCAGCUUGCUCAGGCUUGUGCAGUCACCUGCUAGUGACUGGAGGGAUGAGACAGGACUUUGCUACUGAUGUGGGCAACAAAAAAGCAGAUCGAGUGAAACCUAAAUUGUGUUGUCUGGGGAGGUUUGUGUGCUCAUUCAGGAGAUGGCAAAUGUCCUGGACAAUGUUUUGCCAUCCUUCCUAUUCCUCACCCAGGUUUGUUUGCUACUUGUUCUCCUUCCAGAAUUCCCUCUGGUGAACUUUCUGCUGGAGACUUUUGCCUAUGGGUGGGAGUGGGUGCUGGUAUCUUAUGUUUUUGCUGUUCAGGUGGGGAUCUAAUGCUUUGUCUCAUCUGGUUGAGAACUGAGUAUCAGUAUAGUCAAACAAACAAAACCCUUGUAUCUGCAUUUUGAAACCAUACAAACAUUCUCCCACAGUGCCUAUACUUAUAUCAAAAACUUGGUAAGUUACACUUGGGUUGUCUUGAUCCACCAUUAUGUUUUGCAUCUCUCUGUUAUUAUUUCUUUAUUACUUACUGGAGUGUGUUAUAUCUGAAAGUGUAUUAUUCAGUGGAAAACAAUUGUAUAUCACUUAAAUUUGAUGUUUUGAACAAAUUAAUUUUUAAAUUGAAAGAGAUUCAGCUGACCUAAUGAUUCAUCAGUUUAGGAAGGUAGCUGCUUGCAAGCAACAUUUAUGCCAGAUUACUAAAAAUAAAGGUUUAUAACCUCAAUAGUGUACUGUCUUCUAGUAGUUUAGCCAGGAAACAGAGGAGAUUAUUUUUCUUUAGGGUCCUUUAUAUUUUGUGCA